AGCUCCAAUAGCGUAUAUUAAAGUUGUUGCAGUUAAAAAGCUCGUAGUUGAACCUCUGGCCAGGGAAGACGGUCGCCUUCGGGUUGUACUUUUUUCUCUGGCCUUCCUUCUAGCGAACUAUUGUGCCAUUCAUUUGGUGCGAUAGGGAACUAGGACUUUUACUUUGAAAAAAUUAGAGUGUUUAAAGCAGGCAAUCGCUUGAAUACAUUAGCAUGGAAUAAUAAAAUAGGACUUUGGUUUUAUUUUGUUGGUUUUCAAGACCAGAGUAAUGAUUAAUAGGGACAGUUGGGGGCAUUAGUAUUUAGCCGUCAGAGGUGAAAUUCUUGGAUUGGCUAAAGACUAACUUCUGCGAAAGCAUUUGCCAAGGAUGUUUUCA
rnacentral:rRNA from 1 species